rnacentral:rRNA from 1 species
GAUGAACGCUGGCGGCGUGCCUAAUACAUGCAAGUCGAGCGAACAGACGAGGCGCUUGCUCCUCUGACGUUAGCGGCGGACGGGUGAGUAACACGUGGAUAACCUACCUAUAAGACUGGGAUAACUUCGGGAAACCGGAGCUCAUACCGGAUAAUAUAUUGAACCGCAUGGUUCAAUAGUGAAAGACGGGUUUGCUGUCACUUAUAGAUGGAUCCGCGCCGCAUUAGCUAGUUGGUAAGGUAACGGCUUACCAAGGCGACGAUGCGUAGCCGACCUGAGAGGGUGUUCGCCCACACUGGGACUGAGACACGGUCCAGACUCCUACGGGAGGCAGCAGUAGGGAAGCUUCCGCAAUGGGGGAAAGCCUGACGGAGCAACGCCGCGUGAGUGAUGAAGGUCUUCGGAUCGUAAAACUCUGUUAUUAGGGAAGAACAAAUGUGUAAGUAACUAUGCACGUCUUGACGGUACCUAAUCAGAAAGCCACGGCUAACUACGUG